ensembl:lncRNA
CCAAACAUAUAUAGUCACUUGUUGUAUACACUUAACAUUGCAUAGAUUUAGAGUGAGUUUCAGGUGAGGGAGAAAGGAUGGGGAUCAUAGUGUGAGGAGGGAGUGUGAUGGUGAGGUGUGAACUGCUAGGCGUGGUGUGUCUCCGAUGGCACUGUUACUUAUGCAGGAGGGUGUUCAAAUGUUAAUUAUCAGGAAAUUAAUUACUGUUCCUUUGCUUAUAUCUUUGACUAAUGCCACUAAUCUUGGCAUUAGUCCAUUAUUUAUGCCCGGAUUACAUUAAUUCAAUUAGUCCAUUAUUAAUCACUUUAAUCAACUUAAAGGGGUCCUAUUAUGCUCUUUUACAAAGUCUUGAUUUGUUUUGGGGGUGUACUAGAACAGGCUCUCAUACUAGGUUGUUCGAAAAACACAUUAUUUUUCACAUAUUUUACAUUAUUACAACACCUCUCUCCCCAGUCUGGCAUGAACGGCUCGAAAAGUUCCUGUAUCAAAUGAAGGCCCGCCUUCUGGAAUACGAUGUGUGCUGUGAUUGGUUAUCUGGGCCAGUGUGUGUGGAAUGAUUGGCAGCACUCGGCGCCUGGUCGGAAAAUGUCCUGCCUCUUACCAUAGCUGCCUGCUGCGAGCUUCAGUGUAAAUAUUGCAUCAAAAUCAAAUCAAUUUGAGCGCGAAUUAAACCCGGAUGAUUUUAACCACUCUAAGCUCGUCUGUCUUGGGAAAGCUAGCGUGUCUCUGACAUAGUGAUAACACUCAUUGUCUUCUCUAAUGCAGCUCAACUAGGUCUCGUCCCAUUCGUUGAUCUUUGUGAUAUCACAAAUCCCGGAAAAUAUGUGUUGUAGUCCAAACGAGUCGUUCGUUGUAGUUUUUGAAAAGUGAUUUCUGUUAAAUUAAAUAUCUCCUUUUGAACUGGACUUUGACCUUUGUAACUUGGGAGAUCUUUUUUAUGCUCAAACAGCAACAUUACAGAGUAACUAAAGUCGAAAAUGUGAAAAAGCAUAAUAGCACCCCUUUAAACUUACUUCUUAACAUACACUGUAUAAAAAAAAGGGAAAAAAAAGGAAAAAAAGGGGGGGGGGGGGUGGCUGUCAGAAAUGGCUGCCAAAAGACCUGUGCGUUUAAAGUAAAAUACCGUAAUUUAGAUGCUCUAAAAAUGCUGGGUUAAAAAACAUCAAUUUCUGGGAUAUUUGGCAACCCAUUCAAAUUAUUGAACAAAGUAAAGCUUGUUUAAAAAAAUGUUCAUGUAUGUUCAAUAGUUGGUACUUUGUGUCACGUGAUUUAAUUUAAUUACAGCCGCCUAUCAUUAGGAUAUACUGUAAAUGAGCAAACAGCCAUCAAGUUUGUUUGUUUUUAACUUUAUAGGCUACUUUCAUCUUGCUUUGUUUCUCUCUCUCUCUCUCUCUCUCUCACACACACACACACACACAGCAACAUUACUGUAAUAGCACCAAAAUAGCACAUAAUCUCUAGGUCACAUUUCCUGAAGCCUUGUCAUCCAAGUUGUAGAUGAUAACGUUUUUUUUUCACUGCAAGAACCAGUUUUCUGUGCAAAUUAUUGUGUGCAAAUGUUUUUAUCUGUAACAUUUUAUCUGUAAUCAUUCUUAAAAUACAGCAAGUGUUUCAUAUAAACAGGAUAUAUGAUCAUAUCUGAUAUCUUUUUUUUGGUAACACUUUCUAUGAAGCUGUAUUUAUAAUACAUUAUAAGGGUAUUCUUAAGGCAUUAUAAUGAAUGCAUAAUGCGUUAUAAAAAUCCUUAUAAUAUCUUGUAUCAUCUCAUGAAUAUUCAUAAGAACAGUUUUAAUAUAUUAUAAAAUUUACUUAUUUG